rnacentral:rRNA from 1 species
CCCUACGGGGCGCAGCAGGCGCGAAACCUUCGCACUGUGCGAAAGCGCGAUGAGGGGAUCCCAAGUGCUUGCUCGUAAGAGUAAGCUGUUUUUAUGUCUAAAAAGCAUAGAGAGUAAGGGCUGGGUAAGACGGGUGCCAGCCGCCGCGGUAAUACCUGCAGCUCAAGUGGUGAUCAUUAUUAUUGGGCCUAAAACGUCCGUAGCCGGUUUGGUAAAUGCCUGGGUAAAUCGUGUAGCUUAACUAUACGAAUUCCGGGUAGACUGCCAAACUUGAGACCGGGAGAGGCUAGAGGUACUCCUGGGGUAGAGGUGAAAUUCUGUAAUCCUAGGGGGACCACCAGUGGCGAAGGCGUCUAGCUAGAACGGGUCUGACGGUCAGGGACGAAGCCCUGGGGCGCGAACCGGAUUAGAUACCCGGGUAGUCCAGGGUGUAAACGCUGCUUGCUUGAUGUUAGUUGGGCUCCGAGCCCGAUUAGUGUCGGAGAGAAGUUGUUAAGCAAGCUGCCUGGGAAGUACGGUCGCAAGACUGAAACUUAAAGGAAUUGGCGGGGGACCA